CUUAAAUAUUAAAGGACGACUUCAGACAAUUUAAAUUUGAAUACAUUAUUAAAUUGGGUCACCUAUGUAGUAGAAGUGUGAAGUUAUUUUAGAAAUUGGUGCCCUCUAGGCCGAGAAAAGCCAGAAAAUGUGUUUUUUUGCUUAUGUGGAUGAAAAACACCAAGUCCCAGAAUGCAUUGCUUCGCUGCUCUACGAGGCCACUCCCUAGUCACGCCUACUGGUUUGAGACGGCAGGAGGGAGGGAGAUUCAACUAGACUAAAUACAACUUUUACAGACACGUCUGCGACGAUUUAGUUGAUAUAUUAUUAUAAAUACUACCUUUUCCACAUCGAAAUGAUGAUAAGUUGCGUUGUACCGGGAUGUUCAACCAAAACCGGGAAAAGAACAAGCAGUAAGUUUUCAUCGUUUGCUACGUUGUAAACAAUGGCUGCGGGCUAUCAACCACGCAAAAUGUCGAGAAGACAACGAUGCGGUAAAAUAAGAAAAACAGAGGGUUUGCAGUCUCCAUUUCAAGCAUGAAGACAUCGAACCCAAUGUACUCGGAAUGAAGCAAAACACGCGAAAGGACACUGCAAUUCCGUUCAUGUUUACCUUCACAGACACGACGAACAGCCGGAGCCAUCUGGUAUCAAACGCAUUCGUCUACGUUUGAGGUUUCCAGAAGAAGAUGCAGAAGAAGGGGGAAAAAAGAACAAUGAUAUCCUCCUUGCAUGGACCAGGUCUGUCCUAAAUCAUAUGUGGUUUUCCUGUGCAACCAGUAAGGGGGACGUUGAGGUACUGAAAUUCCCGUGGAAAUCCAUUCUACACCAUGUGUGUAAUGAGCAUGAGUGUACAGAUGAUGACGGAGGACAUCCUGUGGCAUUUCAAGACCUGUCAUCGCUGGUCCUUGAUAAAAGACUUCGGAGAGACAUGGAAAAGAUGGCCCUGUUCAAACAUACUGGGCCGCUGGAAGUCUUUCACAGCGCACUUUUGAAAUACCUCCCCAAUGUUAGUUCCUGCACUACAAUGG